CCAGUUUCGGGAGUUUCCUACAAACACUGAGUUUAGCAGAGCUGUUUCUUUUCUUUGACGGAUUUCCCCGGGAUGGGUUUACUGUAUGAGAAUUUUUUUUCUGCCUCCCAACGCCUCCUGUGAAGAUCAAUUUGUGUACAGCAUGUAUUUUGUACACUUGAUACUCCUCAUAGCAUAGUGGAAGGAUUUAUCAGUUUACCGGAACCUCAUUUCUGAGUGAAAGGUACCUUACUUCGUUUUCAGAUGAGAUCAGUCAUUAGAUUGUCUAGUUUUCUUUCACAAUACUUGCAAAUGAUACAUGGAUCUUCUAACAAUACAAUCUAGUCUCUUUUCCAGUAAUAGUUCAUGGUGCAUGUGUUAUUUCUGAUAUCAAUGAUGUUUCUUUUAUCUUUGGUCUUGGAAUUUAAAGGCUCUUGAUAAAUUGCAUUUUGCUCCUUUUACUAAAAAACAGGUAAAUUAAUUUUUGUAUGGUA
rnacentral:lncRNA from 1 species